GGAAGAGGAGGAGCCGUGAGGGGACGUGGAGGAGGAGGAGGAAGGCUCGGAGUUGCUGUGGCAACGGGCGGCCGCGGCUCCUCCGGGCCUUCGCUCCAUGAGGGGAUGGGGGGCUGGCGGGGGGGAGCCCCCCUCAGCGGCAGGGCUGCAGUUCUUGAUGUUUUUUUUUUUCUAUUGAUAGCAUCGGUUAAAAUGGGUCGGGGGAGCAAUAAUAAGGAAGGAAGUGAAGGAACGUCCGUGUGGGCGCUGGGGUACGGUCCCUGCUCGGCUGUGAGCAGUGCUCGCCGCAGGGAAGUCCUGCUGGGGGGAAUUGGUUGCGCCUCCUAGGAGACCUGAGGAAAAUGCUGCCCUUGUUACUGCCGCCCGUAGCUCUUAGGAGAAGCUUGGAAUUAAAUAGAUGCAGGGUUUUCUUUCAAAAUGUGCUCCUGAAUAAAUUAGUUUGCAUCCAGAAGUGGCAUCUGUUUCCCUUGGCUCAGAUACUUUUUGCAAGAUUUUAGGUACGCAGCUCACGUUGAAGCUUGGUGCCCGAUACCUGAGCGGUUUUGAAAAUCAGAACUAAAACAGGAAUACUUCUGGGCUGUGGGGUCAGUAACCCUGGGAGAGGGAGGGACAGACACUUAGACAUCACAUCUCAUGCGCGGAAAACUAAGUAUUUAGAGGAGCUAAGUGGCCUGCUAUCUAGUAAUUCCUGCCAUUCCACAGCAAACCUCUUUUAUACUUGAGGACUGAAGCAGCUGAAAACACUGGACACGUCUCUUUCUGUUGGAGGUCACUUGCUGAUUUAUCUCCAAUUCACAACUCAUUAGAAGAGAUCAGUUGAACAGAGGUCUUGGGAGCUGUUACCUGCUCAGACUUUAGAACUGCCAACAUGCAUUUGCCUGAGUUACCUCAGUGGUGGAGAGGAGAGGAUGAAUUCCAAACACAUCAUCCAGACUUCACAAGUCUGCAGAGAUCUCCAAAGUGAACUUCUCCAUCUGCGUUAGAAUCUGUGUGAUGAGUGGGGCACACAGUGCUCCAUUGUUUUGAGCUCCUCCAAACUCUGAAUUUUUUUUAACUCUGCAAGCUCUCAGUUUAUGAAACAUAUUAUGGCUGAAGAUAUAAAGAAGACAUUAAAGCUUUUGCCCACUUACAGCUAUUACUCUGGAGACAAACACAAAAAUUCUACUUGUUGUAUCUGUAUACCUCCCAGCUCUAAAAGUCUGAAGGACCCUAUUUUAAAUCUUCUUUUUCCUAAAUUACAUUUCCAUGGAAUACUUGGCUAUAGAUGAAUAGUUCUGCAGUUACAUGCCUCAUUUUGAAUAGUUUUAUGAGGGCCAAAGGUGCUUCCUUUUCCAGUUCUUUGGCUAGCUUGUCUUGUUUUAGCAGAUACAAUUUUUUAGCAUCUAAACGGGGAAAUCACCGUUAUUUACAGGAGAAGAAUCACAGAGCUGACAGGGGUUCCCCCCGCAAAGCACUCUCUGUGUAAUUGCUGAAGACAUUCCAAGCCACUCUAACGAAGUGUACUGUCUGCCAGUCAUUAUGCUCUUCUUGGAAGACCAUCUGUUGCAUUUCAAAUAUGUAAAGGUCUGCUUUUAUUUUUUGCACCAAACAAAUCAGUUUCUUUAUCUGACAUGGUAUAACUCGUGAAUAUGGACUAAAGGUAGUUUCAGUUGCAAAGUACAGGAUAUUCUCUUUUGUUGCACUGUGAAUGAAAGGUAGUCAUUAUGUAUCUCCAAAUUCAAAAGACAAACAUACUGAUUAAACUAAUUUCAGUGCUUUUGAAUGAUUUCAAUUUCUUUGGCAACAAAUUAUCAAUAACAACAACAAAAAAGUCUGAAAUAGAUUUUCUCUUAGCUCAGCCAUAAGCAUAUUGUAAGAUUUUUGCUUCUGGCAAAUGAACCUGUUAAUUGUAGUGGUA